rnacentral:tRNA from 1 species
GGGGCUAUAGCUCAGCUGGUAGAGCGCGUGAAUCGCACUCACGAGGUCCGGGGUUCGAGUCCCCGUAGCUCCA